GAUGUGUGUCGUAGUUAACGCGUUAAACAGGGCGCCUGGGAAGUACGGCCGCAAGGCUAAAACCCAAAGGAAUUGACGGGGACCCGCACAAGCAGUGGAGCGCCUGGUUUAAUUCGAUGGUCCGCGAAGUACCUCACCUAGGCUUGAACUGUAGCUGCACACUCCCAGAAACGGGAGAAUCCUUCGAGGGUGCUACAGAGUUGCUGCAUGGCUGUCGUCAGCUCGUGUCGUGAGAUGUAGGCUUAAGUCCCACAAAGAGCGCUACCCCUAUUCAGUGUUAUAAUUACUCUGAAGACUGCCCUGUCCAAACGGGGAGGAAGGAGGGGACGACGUCCAGUUAUCAUGUCCCUUAUGUAUAGGGAUACACAGACGCUACAAUGGCCGGUACAAUGGGUUGCCAGACCGCGAGGUGGAGCCAAUCCCAUCAAAGCCGGUCCCAGUUCGGAUUGCAGUCUGCAACUCGACUGCAUGAAGUAGGAAUUGCUAGUAAUCGCGAAUCAGCACA
rnacentral:rRNA from 1 species